rnacentral:rRNA from 1 species
AACGAACGCUGGCGGCGCGUCUUAAGCAUGCAAGUCGGACGGCAAGAAGAGAGCUUGCUCUCUUCCUAGAGUGGCGGACUGGUGAGUAACACGUGGGUGACGUACCCUUUAGCUGGGGAUAGCCGGUAGAAAUACCGGGUAAUACCGAAUAAUCUUGCUUCUUUGAUGUGAAGUAAGGAAAGGAGCUUCGGCUUCACUGAAGGAACGGCCCGCGCACUAUUAGCUAGUUGGUGAGGUAACGGCUCACCAAGGCAACGAUAGUUAUCCGGCCUAAGAGGGUGAACGGACACAUUGGGACUGAGAUACGGCCCAG